GUUAGGAAUAUUGGACAAUGGGCGCAAGCCUGAUCCAGCCAUGCCGCGUGAGUGAUGAAGGCCUUCGGGUUGUAAAGCUCUUUAGCCGAUGAUUAUAAUGACUGUAGUCGGAAAAUAAGCCCCGGCUAACUUCGUGCCAGCAGCCGCGGUAAUACGAAGGGGGCGAGCGUUAUUCGGAAUCACUGGGCGUAAAGCGUGCGUAGGCGGCUUUGCAAGUUGGGAGUGAAAGCCCAGGGCUCAACCCUGGAAUUGCUCUCAAAACUGCAAGGCUCGAAUUCGGGAGAGGAUAGCGGAAUUGUCAGUGUAGCAGUGAAAUGCGCAGAUAUUGACAGGAACACCAGUGGCGUAAGCGGCUAUCUGGACGAGUAUUGACGCUGAGGCACGAAAGCGUGGGGAUCAAACAGGAUUAGAUACCCCGGUAGUCC
rnacentral:rRNA from 1 species